UACGAAGGGGGUUAGCGUUGCUCGGAAUCACUGGGCGUAAAGGGCGCGUAGGCGGACUCUUAAGUCGGGGGUGAAAGCCCAGGGCUCAACCCUGGAAUUGCCUUCGAUACUGAGAGUCUUGAGUUCGGAAGAGGUUGGUGGAACUGCGAGUGUAGAGGUGAAAUUCGUAGAUAUUCGCAAGAACACCAGUGGCGAAGGCGGCCAACUGGUCCGAUACUGACGCUGAGGCGCGAAAGCGUGGGGAGCAAACAGG
rnacentral:rRNA from 1 species